GAUGAAGAACGUAGCGAAAUGCGAUACGUAAUGUGAAUUGCAGAAUUCAGUGAAUCAUCGAGUCUUUGAACGCACAUUGCGCCCUCUGGUAUUCCGGAGGGCAUGCCUGUCCGAGCGUCAUUGCUGCCCUCAAGCACGGCUUGUGUGUUGGGCCCCGUCCUCCUUCCGGGGGACGGGUCCGAAAGGCAGCGGCGGCACCGCGUCCGGUCCUCAAGCGUAUGGGGCUUUGUCACUCGCUUUGUAGGCCUGGCCGGCGCUUGCCGAUCAACCAAACUUUUUAUCAGGUUGACCUCGAAUCAGGUAGGGAUACCCGCUGAACUUAAGCAUAUCAAUAAGCGGAGGA
rnacentral:misc_RNA from 1 species